GCUCUCCGGAUCCAACUACCGUUUCCCAGUUGUGAUCAGGGUCAGAGUAAUCGUUGGUAUCGCGGACUCGGAUAAUUUGAUGGGAUUCCGGGUCAGAAAUGUAGAGGGAACCGUCCAAUGGACUGAGAGCUAUGUGAUAGCGGAUGCUUACUUGAGCCUGACAACAGUCCUAACAGUUCCAUCGACGAGGAUCUUUCUCACAAGAUUAAAAUCACCGACAAAAAUGGAACCAUCAGGAGCAGUAGCGAGAGCAACGGGCGCAAGAAGUCGUUGUUUGGAAGCUUGCCCGUCGCAAUCAUAGAUAUUCGAACCGUCUCCUUUUUGCAAUAUACCUUCAUGGAAAUUAUAUCUAUGGUGAAUAUCCAAAUUCCAUCCCCCAACUUCGGAAAUGGACAUAUCGUGACCGCUAAGUUUCGUCGUCUGCACGUCCCAGAUGAUGUCCUUGCAGUCGUUGUACUCGUAUCCAACUUUCACCAUAGCCGUGGUGACACCGUAAACGCGUUGCCUAUAGACGUUCAAUCGAUUCCACGCGUCAUCGAUCAAAGUAUUAUUCAUCGAAGCGAGCAAAAUAUCUAAACAAGAGAAGAGAAAUACUUUGAUCAUCCUUCUUCUUUUCCAUUUGGUUUGCAUAUCUCCCAUAAUUAAAUUAAUCAUGGAACACGUCUAUACC